GGCUGGUUUGGGAACGCCUCGGGAUCCCUCCGGAAGAGGUGGAAGAAGUGGCUUGGGAAAGGGAAGUCUGGGUAUCCCUGCAGGGAAGUCUGCGUAUCCCUGCUGAAGCUCCUUCCCCUGUGACCAGACCUGGAAGAGCGAAGCUGACGGUAGUAGCUAACGCUAAUCUCUGCAUCCAACAAGAUGAUCACGAUCAUGUAAACUGACAGAUCUUUGCCCAGGCACUCUGGAGACUCAAACAAGUCAGCCGGGAGCGAGGUGAAGAUGGUGUUGAUGACUCCUUUGAAAAGUUCCUGUUGUGCAAGUCAGCCCAAUCAACCUGUCGGCAUAUGUUUGUCUUUUUCUCUUCCUUUUAAAC